UGCCAGCCGCCGCGGUAAUACGAGGGUCCCAAGCGUUGUUCGGAAUCACUGGGCGUAAAGCGUGCGUAGGCGGCGCGGAAAGUCAGGUGUGAAAUCUCUGGGCUCAACCCGGAAACUGCAUUCGAUACUCCCGCGCUAGAGUAAUGGAGGGGUAGCUGGAAUUCUCGGUGUAGCAGUGAAAUGCGUAGAUAUCGAGAGGAACACUCGUGGCGAAGGCGAGCUACUGGACAUUUACUGACGCUCAGGCACGAAGGCCAGGGUAGCGAAAGGGAUUAGAUA
rnacentral:rRNA from 1 species